GCCUUCGUGUUGUAGUGGUCAGCACGCUCGACGCGUAACCGAGAGGUCCGUGGUUCGAUUCCCGGCGAAGGCU
rfam:Stegodyphus mimosarum contig124561, whole genome shotgun sequence.